CAGUCGCCGCGGUAAUACGUAGGUGGCAAGCGUUAUCCGGAAUUAUUGGGCGUAAAGCGCGCGUAGGCGGUUUUUUAAGUCUGAUGUGAAAGCCCACGGCUCAACCGUGGAGGGUCAUUGGAAACUGGAAAACUUGAGUGCAGAAGAGGAAAGUGGAAUUCCAUGUGUAGCGGUGAAAUGCGCAGAGAUAUGGAGGAACACCAGUGGCGAAGGCGACUCUCUGGCUUGUAACUGACGCUGAGGCUCGAAAGCGUGGGGAGCAAACAGGAUUAGAUACCCGAGUAGUCCCUGUCUCUUAUAC
rnacentral:rRNA from 1 species